rnacentral:rRNA from 1 species
GGACGAACGCUGGCGGCGUGCUUAACACAUGCAAGUCGAGCGAUGAAGCUCUUCGGAAGUGGAUUAGCGGCGGACGGGUGAGUAACACGUGGGUAACCUGCCUCAUAGAGGGGGAAUAGCCUUCCGAAAGGAAGAUUAAUACCGCAUAAGAUUGUAAUAUUGCAUGAUAUAGCAAUUAAAAGGGAGUAAUCCGCUAUGAGAUGGACCCGCGUCGCAUUAGCUAGUUGGUGAGGUAACGGGCUCACCAAGGCGACGAUGCGUAGCCGACCUGAGAGGGUGAUCGGCCACAUUGGGACUGAGACACGGCCCAGACUCCUACGGGAGGCAGCAGUGGGGAAUAUUGCACAAUGGGGGAAACCCUGAUGCAGCAAACCGCCGCGUGAGUGAUGACGGUCUUCGGAUUGUAAAGCUCUGUCUUCAUGGACGAUAAUGACGGUACCUGAGGAGGAAGCCACGGCUAACUACGUGCCAGCAGCGGC